rnacentral:rRNA from 1 species
GACGAACGCUGGCGGCGUGCCUAAUACAUGCAAGUAGAACGCUGAAGAGAGGAGCUUGCUCUUCUUGGAUGAGUUGCGAACGGGUGAGUAACGCGUAGGUAACCUGCCUGGUAGCGGGGGAUAACUAUUGGAAACGAUAGCUAAUACCGCAUAAAAUUGAUUAUUGCAUGAUAAUUAAUUGAAAGAUGCAAUUGCAUCACUACCAGAUGGACCUGCGUUGUAUUAGCUAGUUGGUGAGGUAACGGCUCACCAAGGCGACGAUACAUAGCCGACCUGAGAGGGUGAUCGGCCACACUGGGACUGAGACACGGCCCAGACUCCUACGGGAGGCAGCAGUAGGGAAUCUUCGGCAAUGGGGGGAACCCUGACCGAGCAACGCCGCGUGAGUGAAGAAGGGUUUCGGAUCGUAAAGCUCUGUUGUAAGAGAAGAACGGGUGUGAGAGUGGAAAGUUCACACUGUGACGGUAUCUUACCAGAAAGGGACGGCUAACUACGUG